rnacentral:rRNA from 1 species
GCAAGUCGAACGGUAACAGGAAAUAGCUUGCUUUAAUUGUCAGCUAAGUGGCGCACGGGUGAGUAAUAUAUAGGUAACGUGCCUUCAAGAAGGGGAUAACGUUUGGAAACGAACGCUAAUACCCUAUAUGCCUUUAAGUCUUAAGACUGCAAGGGAAAUAUUUAUAGCUUGAAGAUCGGCCUGUACAGUAUCAGUUAGUUGGUGAGGUAAUGGCUCACCAAGACAAUGACGCUUAACUGGUUUGAGAGGAUGAUC